GGAGAAAAAAAAAAAUAACAACUGCGUAAUUUAUUCUAACAUGGCCGCACCUAUAAAAUUCCCCUGCCAAUUGCAAAGAAGGAAUCAAUUAAGUCUCCCAUAAAUGCAUGGAAUAUAUUCAAAAGUACUUGUUGGCAAUCUCCUUGAGGUAAGAAGAGAGUUCCUGUGGUUUUGAAAACAUGACCAUGUGAUCAGAAUCAGAGAUAAACUUUACUUCAUCAGGUGGAUUGUUUUCGAUCAUCCACCUCUGAAGAUCUUCCUUUACCAUCUUAUCUUAGCCACACACAAUGUAAAUUCGAGGAACAGAUCCAUAUUUCUCUUUGGUGACCACUACAUUUUGUGUACCUCCAUCAUCACGGAUCCGGAGAGGGAAAGGUCUCCUUGCCAGUGUAGCUGGAAUUAGAUCCUGCUUGAUUCAAGAAAACAGAUAAGCUAUCCAAUUGCAGGAGAAAAAUAAGUUCUGAAUGCUAUUACCUCAGAUGGGGAGAGCUGGUACAAGUUGGUUGACAAGAUGUCUGGUCCAUACAACAUGGAGGUUGGAGGGCUGUUUGGUCCAUCAGCAAAAAUAUAUUUUGUCCAUGAAUGAACCGAGUUGUCUAGCAAACUUUCGUGAUAUAGUUUUGUAAUCAAAGUCAGGACCAGGCAUAGUUGCAGUAGCAAAGACUCCAGCAGAAAUUAUCUAAGGGAACUUUUCCAUGGCAACAGAAACGCCAAUGCCACCCAUGCUGUGGCCAACUAGUACCACCCCUUCUUCUGGUGGCAGGGACGCCAUGAAUUCCAUCAAGGGCUCAAAGUAGUCUAAGAACGAGCGGAGCUCAUGAACCUGCUUUGAGUGCACCCCAGAAGCAGCCAUGAUCCAGAGCAGUAACAUUAUGACCAGAGCGGAAACUUUGUACCAGCACCAGGCUCCAUGACAGGCUCCAUGGACUAACACAAAAUGCCUGUGUCCUGCAUCAUUCUGCAAUUGUUUUGUGGAAGAUAAAAUAUCUUUGGGAUGCAUCAGGCUUGUUGAAAAAGGCAACUUUCUCUUGGCUGUGGCUAUUUGUUUUCAGGGAAAAAGCGAUGGAUUUCAGAGAGAAAAAUAGAGAAUUGAAAAGCAUUUCCAUUUCUAAAAGAGAAUUUUUUUGGCAUCCAUCCUUCCUUUUGUGUUCAGUACUGAACAAAUAUUUGAUGAUAGAAUGUGAUUUGGACCACAGAUGGUAUCCUUAUCCUCUUUUCCACGCAUGGGAAACUUCAAAGGUAAAUGAUGACAGAUGUGCAAACUGCAAACCAAUUAAACUACUACCCGAGUCAAACACUGUUU
rnacentral:misc_RNA from 1 species